rnacentral:rRNA from 1 species
ACCGCCCGUCACAUCACGAAAGCCAGUUGUACUAGAAGCCGGUGACUCAACCGCAAGGGGAUAGCCGUCCAAGGUAUGACUGGUGAUUGGGGUG